UACGAAGGGGGCUAGCGUUGCUCGGAAUCACUGGGCGUAAAGGGUGCGUAGGCGGGGCUUUAAGUCAGGGGUGAAAUCCUGGAGCUCAACUCCGGAACUGCCUUUGAUACUGGGGAUCUCGAGUCCGGGAGAGGUGAGUGGAAUUGCGAGUGUAGAGGUGAAAUUCGUAGAUAUUCGCAAGAACACCAGUGGCGAAGGCGGCUCACUGGCCCGGUACUGACGCUGAGGUGCGAAAGCGUGGGGAGCAAACAGG
rnacentral:rRNA from 1 species